UCAUUUCUUCUCUAUAAUGAUCAUCAAUUCAGGUUGAAAAUGAAUAAACUGGAUAACAUGCUAUGCGAAUUUUUAUGCCUUAACCAUAUGAUGAUAAUUUUCUGAUUUAAAUGUAAGAAUACCGAUCAAUUAAAAUUGUUCUCUGAGUCAUCCUGAUAUUAUAACAAACAAUACUAAAUAUGCAGCUCUACAUAUUUUGUUCCAAUCAAAGACUGUAACAC
rnacentral:lncRNA from 1 species